AGAGCGAACGCUGGCGGCAGGCCUAAUACAUGCAAGUCGAACGGAUCCUUCGGGAUUAGUGGCGGACGGGUGAGUAACACGUGGGAACGUGCCCUUUGGUUCGGAACAACUCAGGGAAACUUGAGCUAAUACCGGAUGUGCCCUUCGGGGGAAAGAUUUAUCGCCAUUGGAGCGGCCCGCGUCUGAUUAGCUAGUUGGUGGGGUAAAGGCCCACCAAGGCGACGAUCAGUAGCUGGUCUGAGAGGAUGAUCAGCCACACUGGGACUGAGACACGGCCCAGACUCCUACGGGAGGCAGCAGUAGGGAAUCUUGCGCAAUGGGCGAAAGCCUGACGCAGCCAUGCCGCGUGAAUGAUGAAGGUCUUAGGAUUGUAAAAUUCUUUCAGCGGGGACGAUAAUGACGGUACCCGCAGAAGAAGCCCCGGCUAACUUCGUGCCAGCAGCCGC
rnacentral:rRNA from 1 species